rnacentral:lncRNA from 1 species
UCAGAUUUAGGUGUUUAGACCUGGGAAGAACGAUUUUCCGGCGUUCUUGAAACCGACGACGGUUUCUGGCGCCCUCUGAAAUCGGCUCCGAUCGACGACGAUGACCGGCGGGUUCUGAAAUUGGCAACUCCCGACGACGACGGCUGCAGGUAUUCGCCGAAAUCGACGACGAUUUCCGGCACAAAUCGGCUCCGCAAAUCGGCUUAACGAACGGCGAGGUUCUUGAAACAGACAACGAUUUCCGGAGCCCUCUUAAAUCGGCUCCAAUCGACGACGAUGACCGGCGGUUUCUGAAAUUGGUGACUCCCGACGACGACGGCUGCAGGUAUUCGCCGAAAUCGACGACGAUUUCCGGCACAAAUCGGCUCCGCAAAUCGGCUCAACGAACGGCGAGGUUCUUGAAACAGACAACGAUUUCCGGAGCCCUCUUAAAUCGGCUCCAAUCGACGACGAUGACCGGCGGUUUCUGAAAUUGGCGACUCCCGACACGACGGCUACAGAUAUUUGCUGAAAUCGACGACGAUUUCCGGCGCAAAUCACCUCAACGAACGGCGAGGUUCCCUAAUCGACGACGACAAUCUUCUACAACAAAUCUGCUACGAUGUCCAUGGUGUUCAAUGACAAUACCACACCCGACAAUGUAACGAGGAUUGUGAAACUGAAGCACCAGUGUGCUGAGCGGCUCUCCAGCGCAAAUUUCUUCGUCUGGCAAGCUCAGGUGACGAC